UACGGGGGGGGCAAGCGUUGUUCGGAAUUACUGGGCGUAAAGGGCUCGUAGGCGGCCAACUAAGUCAGACGUGAAAUCCCUCGGCUUAACCGGGGAACUGCGUCUGAUACUGGAUGGCUUGAGGUUGGGAGAGGGAUGCGGAAUUCCAGGUGUAGCGGUGGAAUGCGUAGAUAUCUGGAGGAACACCGGUGGCGAAGGCGGCAUCCUGGACCAAUUCUGACGCUGAGGAGCGAAAGCCAGGGAGCAAACGGG
rnacentral:rRNA from 1 species